rnacentral:lncRNA from 1 species
GAGAGAGAGAGAGAGAGAGAGAGAAGCAUGGUAAAGUCACAUCUCUCAAGGUUCAGGUUAGAUCAUCUCAAGAAACUCCAUCUAAAAAAAAGAACCAGGAGACAUAUUCUAGCCUGAAACAAGCUUCAUGGUGUUUAGUGUGAAAACAGAGCAGCUGGAACUGCAAAGAUGCGCAACCACACACACACACACACACACACACAAAUAGGGAGACUAUUCCAUUCAAACUGCUACACGAAACUCUUCAAAUA